UUUGCCUCCAAACCCGAGUUACGGGGAUGUUGUUAAACCUGCCGCUGCGGCUGCUCCUCAUGCCCAGGUACUGCCUGAGCAGCUGGUUCACCCGUUUCUGACUGUUCCAUUUUCGAGCAGAUUUACGGACGCCUAUGAACCCACCGUAGCGCUUUUGUAGGGGCCUCAUGGGUGAGCCAAUCAGCUUCCUGUAUCCAUGCCGCCCCCUCUGAAAGCCACCAAAGCGUUUGGAUAAGGUGAUGGCCUGUGAGCUGUCGUCCUCGUCCCCUUCUAACUGGCUGUCUCUCUCCACAUUCCUCUCCUCCCUCAGCUUCCUCUCUUCGUCCGCCAUACUGAGAUCCAGACCCUGCAGGCCCUCCCCCUCCUCAGAGGAUUCCAGCAGUGAUGAGUCAUACUGGACACUGCGCUGCUCAAAGGGUGUCUCAUCCUGAUCCCCCUCCUGGAAGCGCUCUGGGGCUGCAGACUGCUGCAGCAGUUCACUGUCCGAGUUCAGGUCAAGAGAGGUCAGCUCCAUCUCCUCUCCUGUUCUCUUGAACAGAGCGCCUCCCUCAGAAAGAAAAGGAUGGUGCGAUAGCUUGACGGCACGUUUGCACACCUCCCAUGUGAGUGAAGAGGAGACAUGACCCUCACACUCCAACAAACACACCUGCAGAGGGAGAAGAAAGAGUGAUGUGUUAAGGCAGCAACAUGAAGGCCUAAAGAAACACAAGGUGGCAAUGGCAAUGGGAAGUACUCAACUUUGGCUUCAUUCCUGAACACUUUUGGUGGAACAACAACUUUGCCUGGAUGGAGGUAAGGACAUAUAAAG